GGCUGAAACACUGGUUCCUGUAUGAUCACUGAAGUUAAGCAACGUCGAUCCUGGUCAGUACCUAGAUGGGUGACCGCUUGGGAAUUCUAGGU